rnacentral:rRNA from 1 species
UACAUAGGGAGCGAGCGUUGUCCGGAUUUACUGGGUGUAAAGGGUGCGUAGGCGGCAAUGCAAGUCAGGCGUGAAAGCUCGGGGCUUAACCCCGAAACUGCGCUUGAAACUGUGUUGCUUGAGUGAAGUAGAGGUAGGCGGAAUUCCCGGUGUAGCGGUGAAAUGCGUAGAGAUCGGGAGGAACACCAGUGGCGAAGGCGGCCUACUGGGCUUUAACUGACGCUGAGGCACGAAAGCAUGGGUAGCAAACAGG